GAUGAACGCUGGCGGCGUGCUUAACACAUGCAAGUCGAACGGAAAGGCCCAAGCUUGCUUGGGUACUCGAGUGGCGAACGGGUGAGUAACACGUGGGUGAUCUGCCCUGCACUUCGGGAUAAGCCUGGGAAACUGGGUCUAAUACCGGAUAGGACCACUUCUUGGAUGUUGUGGUGGAAAGUUUUUUCGGUGUGGGAUGAGCUCGCGGCCUAUCAGCUUGUUGGUGGGGUAAUGCCUACCAAGGCGUCGACGGGUAGCCGGCCUGAGAGGGUGUACGGCCACAUUAGGACUGAGAUACGGCCCAGACUCCUACGGGAGGCAGCAGUGGGGAAUAUUGCACAAUGGGCGCAAGCCUGAUGCAGCGACGCCGCGUGGGGGAUGACGGCCUUCGGGUUGUAAACUCCUUUCGCUAGGGACGAAGCGUUUUGUGACGGUACCUGGAGAAGAAGCACCGGCUAACUACGUG
rnacentral:rRNA from 1 species